GAACGAGAAAGUGGAGCAAUCCAUGAGUAAAGUGGCGCACGGGUGAGUAACACGUGACUAACCUACCUUUUAGUGGGGGACAACCUAGGGAAACCUGGGCUAAUACCGCAUAACACAUACGAGUCAAAGCAGCAAUGCGCUGAAAGAGGGGGUCGCGGCCGAUUAGCUAGUUGGCGGGGUAAUGGCCCACCAAGGCAGUGAUCGGUAUCCGGCCUGAGAGGGCGCACGGACACACUGGAACUGAAACACGGUCCAGACUCCUACGGGAGGCAGCAGUGGGGAAUUUUGCGCAAUGGGGGAAACCCUGACGCAGCAACGCCGCGUGGAGGAUGAAGUCCCUUGGGACGUAAACUCCUUUCGAUCGGGACGAUAAUGACGGUACCGGAAGAAGAAGCCCCGGCUAACUUCGUGCCAGCAGCCGCGGUAAUACGAGGGGGGCAAGCGUUGUUCGGAAUUAUUGGGCGUAAAGGGUGCGUAGGUGGUUCGGCAAGUCUUGUGUGAAAUCUUCAGGCUCAACUUGAAGUCUGCACAAGAAACUGCCGGGCUUGAGUAUGGGAGAGGUGAGUGGAAUUUCCGGUGUAGCGGUGAAAUGCGUAGAUAUCGGAAGGAACACCUGUGGCGAAAGCGGCUCACUGGACCAUUACUGACGCUGAGGCACGAAAGCUAGGGGA
rnacentral:rRNA from 1 species